rnacentral:rRNA from 1 species
ACGGGUGAGUAAUGCCUAGGAAUCUGCCUGGUAGUGGGGGACAACGUUUCGAAAGGAACGCUAAUACCGCAUACGUCCUACGGGAGAAAGCAGGGGACCUUCGGGCCUUGCGCUAUCAGAUGAGCCUAGGUCGGAUUAGCUAGUUGGUGAGGUAAUGGCUCACCAAGGCGACGAUCCGUAACUGGUCUGAGAGGAUGAUCAGUCACACUGGAACUGAGACACGGUCCAGACUCCUACGGGAGGCAGCAGUGGGGAAUAUUGGACAAUGGGCGAAAGCCUGAUCCAGCCAUGCCGCGUGUGUGAAGAAGGUCUUCGGAUUGUAAAGCACUUUAAGUUGGGAGGAAGGGUUGUAGAUUAAUACUCUGCAAUUUUGACGUUACCGACAGAAUAAGCACCGGCUAACUCUGUGCCAGCAGCCGCGGUAAUACAGAGGGUGCAAGCGUUAAUCGGAAUUACUGGGCGUAAAGCGCGCGUAGGUGGUUUGUUAAGUUGGAUGUGAAAUCCCCGGGCUCAACCUGGGAACUGCAUCCCAAAACUGGCAAGCUAGAGUAUGGUAGAGGGUGGGUGGAAUUUCCUGUGUAGCGGUG